CUCCCCCUCGUGACCCGCCCCCUCACCCCCCAUGCCCCGCCCCCCUCCCCCGCUGCUACUUCCGCUUAGGCCGGGGCCGAGUGGAGGCGGCGCGCGCUGUGGAUUGUGGGUGGCGAGCGGCUGAUUUGGAUUCCCGCUCACGGCCACCGUCAGUGGCUCGCGAAAGCUUCUGAAGCGGCGGCUCGCUGGGCCUCCUCUACGUCGACUCAGCCUGAAGGGGCUCAGGCUUGUUGGGGCAGCAUCUGGCUGAAAUGCACCUUCACAACAGGAAGAUUGGAGAGAGGCUUCACAAGGAAGAGAAAACUAUCGCUGAAUGAGUGGCAGGAGGACUGGGUGACGUUCUUCUCACGGCAGCGACUGCAGCUUCAGCUGGACAUGAUAGAGAAGGACUACGGUGAACGGGAAACCCGCGAGCUCUGGUCUCGGCUUCAGCUUCGGUUGGGGGAAUUUUUUCCGGGACGUAGAGGUGGUUCCGGCACUGCUCCACGGUGACCUAUGGACUGGGAACGCUGCAGAGAUUAAUGAAGGGCCCGUCAUCUUUGACCCAGCCUCCUUCUAUGGGCACUCGGAGUACGAGCUUGCCAUCGCUGGGAUGUUCCAGGAGCUUUAGCUCCACGCUUCACUCAUCCUACCACGCUCUCAUCCCAAAGUCACAAGGCUUCGGCAAGAGCCAGAAGCUCUAGCAACUCUUCCACUACCUGAACCACUGGAAUCACUUUGGGACAGGAUACCGAGGGUCAUCCAUCUCCACCAUGCGCAGUCUCCUUAAGUGAAUGAACGGUGAUGCAAUUGGUGUGCCAACACCUCCAGAUGCAGUUCCUGAAGGAAGUGGGCAUUCGGGACAUGUUCGUUUUGCCUGUGAUGAAUGAGUUUGUCCGAACACACAGGGAAGUCAGCCUGUUCAUCGAGAAUUUCUGAGGAGCCAAAGACCAAGCUGGAAUAUUGCAAGGGAGGUGAGCCUGCACCAACAAUUGCCCUGCAUUUCUAUAUAUGUUCAGAUGUUGCCAGCCAAUUAGUGAGUGUGUAUAUAUGUGGAAGGAAACUGGAGCACACAGAUAAGUCACUGCUGAGUGCAUUAAUCACCCUUUGUGAGAUUUGACGCAGCAUGUAAUUAAAAUAUAUUUCCAAUUUGUCUUCGGGUGAUUUUGUAGGUGUUUGUUUUAAGCAAGAGGAGAGUGGAGUUUUAAUGCCAUGUCCUGAAUGGGCCUUCCAUUACAAAGUCCUCAUUCAGGAUCCCAGUCCCACAACAUUUCAAGCCUCCCUCUCAGUUCUACUGCUCUUUGCACUGAACAUUUAAACCUACUUAUUGGGCCUUCUGAUAUGCCCUCUUUGGUAUCAUGACAUGCCAUUUCCUAUACUGGAUCAUUGUAAUCAUCGCUCCAUCAUGCCUCCUUGUCAGUCAGUAAACUUCUAACAUUGGUGUCGUGUGUGUCUGUUGCAGGGAUACUCUGGGGGGCCCUUUCUUUGCCAGGACUCAAACGGCCGCUGGUUGCUUUCUGGAAUCACCAGCUGGGGUGUUGGCUGUGCACGGGCAUACCAGCCAGGUGUCUAGCGCACAGUCGCCAAGUUCAUGGACUGGAUUCACCAGAACAUGCAGUAGUCUCUUACACAUUUCUGCACAAGCAGAAUACUAUAGAUCAGGGAUAUAAAUAUUAUGGGAACUAUACAUCAAAAUAAUUAAUUAAGGCAAUAAAUAUAUUUUUCUAAAACUGAUUUAAAGUUAAUGUUAAAAGGUUAAUUUAAUGAGCUGAAUACUAUAUUUUAACUGCACCAUAAUGCAAAAAAGAUUUCCAAGUGAACACGGAUUUUGGGUCAAAUCAGAAAAGUAUUUUUUUUACAUGCGUUGUCAAUAGCGUUUUUAUCUUUUGGGUUUGCCACACAUGUCAACGGGCCUGGCAAAGCAAACAUGAGCAUGAUGUUGGCAUUGGCAGGAGAUGAAGACAGAGCUUGCUAUUUUUCAAUGUUGCUUAAUUCUUUCAAAACUGACACAAUGGACAAUGAAUGCACUGUCUAAAUAUUUGGCCCAACCUGAUUAUACAUGCUAGCAAAGUGAGUGUUGUCCAAACUACGUAUGAUACAUUUAUAUUCUUGUUAUAUUUUGACCUGGGUCAUCAACUCGCAUCUCCCAUACAUUAAUUGCCAUGGAUGUUGAGCAGUAGGGGUACUCAGAGGGGGUCUAUUGGCCUUCUAGGGGACCACUGCAAUGAUCGGGGCAUCCAGAAGGGAUGAUGAGUUCCACAGGGAGAACGUCCUUCAGAGGUUGUCUUAGAGUGUCCAUGGCAAGGUUAUUGGUGAUUACCUUCACCUCCCCCGGUCAACACAGUCCAUGAGUUUGUGAGUUUUGCUUUACUAACGACAUGAAAACAAGACUGGUUUGCACAAGGAGCCUGCAAAAAAUUUAAUUUAGAAAACCUCAUGAAAUGUGAUGCAUGGCACUUAUCUGAGACGCCCCUUAUCUGAGAAGCCCCUGUGUAAAUGGCGUGAUAUCAAGACCAUUAUUAUCAUAGUGAACUACAUGACGCGUGUAAGAAAACUAUAUAAACAUCUAUUGGAAACAUUUCAUGAAAAUAUGUACAAAAAUGAACACUUUAAUAGUGUUUCAUGGUAUUCCAAAAAUCAUAGCAUAUUUGAUUGGUUAAGAUGGUUUACUCGUUGGGAUGAUAAAUGGCAAUGAUCCUUCAUCAUGUAAAAGACUGUAAGCUGCUUUCAAAAAUAUAUAUUUUUUGAAGAUCGUAUUCACACUCUGCAACAGUCUAUUUUCCACAUCAAACCAUAAUGUGUCUGUCGACUGCAAUUGGAAAUUGAUGCAUGCUUAGUAGCAAUCGGGUAAAUAAACAUUGAAAUGUGUCACA